GGGAGAAGGCGAACAGCCAACGGUUCCCUCCCCCGGGAGGUCUGAACUGAGGAAAGUCCCCCCUCCGUGAGCAAUGUGGAUCCACGCAAGUGGAUGGGGCGAGAGUCCUGGCACCCGAUACGCAUCGGGCUCGGUGCGAAAUCAUCGAGAUGGAGCAGAAACGACACAGCCCUUUCCUUACGGGAUGAAGGGGGUCUGCCCCGGACGUCGGAUAGGGAUCUGGUGAAACGGCCAUCCCCACUGGAGCAAGUCCAAAGAAACCGGGAUGACGACUCGAGACCGGUGGGUAGGACGCUAAGUCGAAUGCUGUCAAGGGGGUUUUCAACCCCCCGAACAGAAGGGGGCUUAUGUCCUUCACCC
rnacentral:RNase_P_RNA from 1 species